GCAAAUAUGGCCGAGUGGUCUAAGGCGCUGCAUUCAAGACUUAAUCUUACCUAGUUACCUGGGUUUCGCAGUAUCGAAAGAUGCUAGGGUUCGAAUCCCUAUAUUUGCA
rnacentral:tRNA from 3 species